CCGUCAUGCCCUAAGAUGUUCUGGGCCGCACGCGCGUUACACUGGCAUGUAAAGCGAGUGCUGCUAUCAGUGUUACCGGGGUCGAAAGGCCCUGGUAACCCUUAAUCCCUGCCUAGACUGGGAUAGAUCUUUGCAAUUAUUGGUCUUUAACGAGGAA
rnacentral:rRNA from 1 species